ACAAUGAAGAGUUUGAUCCUGGCUCAGGAUGAACGCUAGCUACAGGCUUAACACAUGCAAGUCGAGGGGCAGCAUUUCAGUUUGCUUGCAAACUGGAGAUGGCGACCGGCGCACGGGUGAGUAACACGUAUCCAACCUGCCGAUAACUCGGGGAUAGCCUUUCGAAAGAAAGAUUAAUACCCGAUGGCAUAAUUAGACCGCAUGGUCUUAUUAUUAAAGAAUUUCGGUUAUCGAUGGGGAUGCGUUCCAUUAGGCAGUUGGUGAGGUAACGGCUCACCAAACCUUCGAUGGAUAGGGGUUCUGAGAGGAAGGUCCCCCACAUUGGAACUGAGACACGGUCCAAACUCCUACGGGAGGCAGCAGUGAGGAAUAUUGGUCAAUGGGCGCAGGCCUGAACCAGCCAAGUAGCGUGAAGGAUGACUGCCCUAUGGGUUGUAAACUUCUUUUAUAUGGGAAUAAAGUUUUCCACGUGUGGAAUUUUGUAUGUACCAUAUGAAUAAGGAUCGGCUAACUCCGUGCCAGCAGCCGCGGUAAUACGGAGGAUCCGAGCGUUAUCCGGAUUUAUUGGGUUUAAAGGGAGCGUAGGUGGACAGUUAAGUCAGUUGUGAAAGUUUGCGGCUCAACCGUAAAAUUGCAGUUGAUACUGGCUGUCUUGAGUACAGUAGAGGUGGGCGGAAUUCGUGGUGUAGCGGUGAAAUGCUUAGAUAUCACGAAGAACUCCGAUUGCGAAGGCAGCUCACUGGACUGCAACUGACACUGAUGCUCGAAAGUGUGGGUAUCAAACAGGAUUAGAUACCCUGGUAGUCCACACAGUAAACGAUGAAUACUCGCUGUUUGCGAUAUACAGUAAGCGGCCAAGCGAAAGCAUUAAGUAUUCCACCUGGGGAGUACGCCGGCAACGGUGAAACUCAAAGGAAUUGACGGGGGCCCGCACAAGCGGAGGAACAUGUGGUUUAAUUCGAUGAUACGCGAGGAACCUUACCCGGGCUUAAAUUGCAUUUGAAUAUAUUGGAAACAGGUUAGCCGCAAGGCAAAUGUGAAGGUGCUGCAUGGUUGUCGUCAGCUCGUGCCGUGAGGUGUCGGCUUAAGUGCCAUAACGAGCGCAACCCUUAUCUUUAGUUACUAACAGGUCAUGCUGAGGACUCUAGAGAGACUGCCGUCGUAAGAUGUGAGGAAGGUGGGGAUGACGUCAAAUCAGCACGGCCCUUACGUCCGGGGCUACACACGUGUUACAAUGGGGGGUACAGAAGGCAGCUACCUGGUGACAGGAUGCUAAUCCCAAAAGCCUCUCUCAGUUCGGAUCGAAGUCUGCAACCCGACUUCGUGAAGCUGGAUUCGCUAGUAAUCGCGCAUCAGCCAUGGCGCGGUGAAUACGUUCCCGGGCCUUGUACACACCGCCCGUCAAGCCAUGAAAGCCGGGGGUACCUGAAGUACGUAACCGCAAGGAGCGUCCUAGGGUAAAACUGGUAAUUGGGGCUAAGUCGUAACAAGGUAGCCGUACCGGAAGGUGCGGCUGGAACACCUCCUUU
rnacentral:rRNA from 1 species